GUGGGGAAUCUUGCGCAAUGGGCGAAAGCCUGACGCAGCCAUGCCGCGUGAAUGAUGAAGGUCUUAGGAUUGUAAAAUUCUUUCACCGGGGACUAUAAUGACGGUACCCGGAGAAGAAGCUCCGGCUAACUUCGUGCCAGCAGCCGCGGUAAUACGAAGGGGGCUAGCGUUGCUCGGAAUUACUGGGCGUAAAGGGCGCGUAGGCGGACAGCGUAGUCAGAGGUGAAAGCCCAGGGCUCAACCUUUGAAUUGCCUUUGAUACUGGCUGUCUUGAGUUUGGGAGAGGUGAGUGGAACUCCGAGUGUAGAGGUGAAAUUCGUAGAUAUUCGGAAGAACACCAGUGGCGAAGGCGACUCACUGGCCCAAUACUGACGCUGAGGCGCGAAAGCGUGGGGAGCAAACAGGAUUAGAUACCCUUGUAGUCC
rnacentral:rRNA from 1 species